ACGGGUGCCUAACGCGUAUGCAACCUACCUUCAUCUGGGGGAUAGCCCGGAGAAAUCCGGAUUAAUACCGCAUAAAAUCACAGGAUGGCAUUAUCCAAUGAUCAAACAUUUAUGGGACGGAGAUGGGCAUGCGUGUCAUUAGCUAGUUGGCGGGGUAACGGCCCACCAAGGCGACGAUGACUAGGGGAUCUGAGAGGAUGGCCCCCCACACUGGUACUGAGACACGGACCAAACUCCUACGGGAGGCAGCAGUAAGGAAUAUUGGUCAAUGGAGGCAACUCUGAACCAGCCAUGCCGCGUGCAGGAAGACUGCCCUAUGGGUUGUAAACUGCUUUUAUCCGGGAAUAAACCACAUUACGUGUAAUGUGCUGAAUGUACCGGAAGAAUAAGGAUCGGCUAACUCCGUGCCAGCAGCCGCGGUAAUACGGAGGAUCCAAGCGUUAUCCGGAUUUAUUGGGUUUAAAGGGUGCGUAGGCCGCCUGUUAAGUCAGGGGUGAAAGACGGUAGCUCAACUAUCGCACUGCCCUUGAUACUGAUGGGCUUGAAUGGACUACAGGUAGGCGGAAUGAGACAAGUAGCGGUG
rnacentral:rRNA from 1 species